AUGGGCGGCGGCCGGAGUGUGGCGUCGCGACCUCCUUUCCCGUCUCCGCCUCCCCCCUCCCUCCAUCGCGCCUGCUCCAUCUCGGCCUCGGCGCCCCCGCGCGGGAGGCGGCGGCCGCCGCGCCGCGACUCCGGCGGUUCGAGCCGACCCGGCCUCGAUCCGCGCCAGUGCCCGGCGGCCGCGCCCCUAUCUCCGGGGGGCACGUGUUCUGGCGGACGGAGAAGGACGAGGACGAGAGGGGCCUCGAGGCAACGGAGGCCGCCGUGCGCGUGGUCGCCACGUCCGACUGCAUCGAGGAGGACAACACGGCGGCCGCAUCCACGGCGGUGUCCCUGGCACGCGUGAUGCGCCGAGCCACAGCUCGCGGAGCUGGUUCGCCUCAUCGGCUCCGCCGACUUGAAGAGCGGGCUUGACUGGGGCACCAGGGCGACGGGGCUGUCGUGCCUCGUGGCCGUCGCGGCGACGCGGCGGGGCCCCGACUCCGGCCUUCCCCAUCGAUCCAUGGAGAGGGUGCACAUCGGCGACCUCGUCUUCUACUUCCUGCAGGGACACCUCGAGCAGGUUCAAAAUUUAGAGUUCAAUAGAGAGAUUGACAUGAGCUCUAUGAGUUCAGCGGAACUGCAAUUGUUCAGUGCAAUUGAUUCAAUUUGUGGUGUAGAGAUGUAGUUGUUUGAACUUGUGCAGAGAGCUUCCACAUCAUCUCACUCUAAUGUACGCUAUUCUGUCUUUUCUGGGUUCAAUCUUCUGUAGGUGUAUGUGUAUCCCAUCAAUACUUGCGACAUCUUUUUUUCUUUUCUGCACGUAACAGAAAUUAUCAUUUGAUGUGCUCAUGAAAACAUAUGACAUAGCCUUGAUGGAUCAAGAUUUUCUUUCACAAAUUCCCUGGCACUAUGCAAUUAUUGAUGAGGCCCAACGUCUAAACAAUCCAUCCAGUUAGCACGGAAGCUCAGACUUUCAGUACUGUUUGGGAAAAGAAACAUCUUCACUUUCGAGCGCUGUAUUGGUAGAGCAUAAUGACAGAGGUACUGUAUAAUGUCCUUGAGCAACGCUUCAUCAUGCCAAGACGUCUACUACUAACAGGCACUCCUAUCCAGAACAACCUUUCUGAAUUAUGGGCGUUGAUGCACUUUUGUUUGCCUUCAAUAUUUGGAAAGCUAGAUGAGUUCCUUUCCACCUUCAAGGAAGCAGGGGACUCAUUAACGGGUAUUACUUUCAAAUUCUAGAGGGGCGCAUUUUAGCAUAUGUCAAUUGCCAGGUGAAUUGCUGUUGGAUGCUUAAUGUUUUUACUUCUUGAUUCCUUUCGGCGUCCUUCAAAAGACAUUCAAAGUUGAGAUCAAUACUUACAGCCGGAGUGAGGUUGUUGCCAUGGAGUGGCUGGUUCAGGAGGCCCUGAACUUCAAGUGUUUCGUCACAACAACUCACCAUUUCCUCUGGUUCUAUCUGAAGGCUGCAAAGGCAGAUGACAGGGUAGUGGACCUGGCAAAAUACCUGUCCUUGCUCUCACUUCUCAAACAUAAGCAGCUCUCCUUCUGGCCCUAAACUGUGGCAGCCGCUGUGGUAGCCCUUGCUUGCCUUGCCACAGACAAGGAGUCCUAAUGCCAUUUAGUCAUGGAGACUCACAUGAGGACGCAGGAUGACGAUCUGCCUAAAUGUAUAAUGAGCCUACAGUGGCUGAUCAACUACGCUUCGUGAUACCCGUGACUCCCAGGUGACGAAAUUGAUCCACAGUUUCCUGAUUCCAAGUUACGCAGCACAGUUCAAGCGGUCAGACGGGCAUGAGGAUGUGUAGGCCAUACGUGAAUCUUAGCAUUAACAGAUUAUUCUGUACAUGCCAUAAGCCAAGGCAGCAUAAAACGAAGCCUGUGAUUAAACGACUUUCUGGCUAGGAGCAAGGCAAGGAUCGAGAGUUUGGUAUUGAGAUGUCGGCCUUUAGGAACUACUGAAUGACCUAUUGCGCUGUCUAUUAUCCUUGGGUAGGCUUGGUUGUCGCCACGUCGGGGAAAAAAUGGGGAAAGCAGACGGUGGUCGGUGGAUGGAUGACUGUGCUUCACUGCACUUGUGCCAUGCCACGACUUCUACUGUAGUUUACUGUAGUUGAUGUUAAGGCAUUCAGUAUUACUGAUGAUGUCUCUGUUGUUUCAUAUGUAGUAUUUGUUGAUAUCUUCCUAUAAGUUUCAUAUUUGGUGGUAAUUGUUGUUUCCUUCGUAAUGGUGAUGGAGUAAUGGUCUUUU